rnacentral:rRNA from 1 species
ACGGAAGGCAGCAGUGAGGAAUAUUGGUCAAUGGACGAGAGUCUGAACCAGCCAAGUAGCGUGAAGGAUGACUGCCCUAUGGGUUGUAAACUUCUUUUGUGCGGGAAUAAUGUGCUCCACGUGUGGGGUAUUGCAUGUACCGUACGAAUAAGGAUCGGCUAACUCCGUGCCAGCAGCCGCGGUAAUACGGAGGAUCCGAGCGUUAUCCGGAUUUAUUGGGUUUAAAGGGAGCGUAGGCGGUGGAUCAAGUCAGCUGUGAAAUGUAGAUGCUCAACGUCUGCACUGCAGUUGAAACUGGUUCACGUGAGUGCGUAAGAGGUAGGCGGAAUUUAUGGUGUAGCGGUGAAAUGCUUAGAUAUCAUAAAGAACUCCGAUUGCGAAGGCAGCUUACUGGGCCGCAACUGACGCUGAAGCUCGAAGGUGCGGGUAUCAAACAGGAUUAGAUACCCUGGUA